rnacentral:snoRNA from 1 species
UGCUGUGAUGUUGUAAUUUGCAUCUUAUCCGGUAUUCAGGGACAGUUGCCUGCUGUCCAGAUACUGUUGCCGUUGAGCUGAAGAUUUUCUGAAACUGAGCA